rnacentral:rRNA from 1 species
UACGGGGGGGGCAAGCGUUGUUCGGAAUUACUGGGCGUAAAGGGCUCGUAGGCGGCCAACUAAGUCAGACGUGAAAUCCCUCGGCUUAACCGGGGAACUGCGUCUGAUACUGGUUGGCUUGAAUCCGGGAGAGGGAUGUGGAAUUCCAGGUGUAGCGGUGAAAUGCGUAGAUAUCCGGAAGAACACCGGUGGCGAAGGCGGCCUGCUGGGCAGUUUAGCUGACACUGAGGCGCGACAGCGUGGGGAGCAAACAGG